AUCGUUAUCCGGAAUUAUUGGGCGUAAAGAGCUCGUAGGCGGUUUGUCGCGUCUGUCGUGAAAGUCCGGGGCUUAACCCCGGAUCUGCGGUGGGUACGGGCAGACUAGAGUGCAGUAGGGGAGACUGGAAUUCCUGGUGUAGCGGUGGAAUGCGCAGAUAUCAGGAGGAACACCGAUGGCGAAGGCAGGUCUCUGGGCUGUAACUGACGCUGAGGAGCGAAAGCAUGGGGAGCGAACAGGAUUAGAUACCCUGGUAGUCCAUGCCGUAAACGUUGGGCACUAGGUGUGGGGACCAUUCCACGGUUUCCGCGCCGCAGCUAACGCAUUAAGUGCCCCGCCUGGGGAGUACGGCCGCAAGGCUAAAACUCAAAGGAAUUGACGGGGGCCCGCACAAGCGGCGGAGCAUGCGGAUUAAUUCGAUGCAACGCGAAGAACCUUACCAAGGCUUGACAUGUUCUCGAUCGCCGUAGAGAUACGGUUUCCCCUUUGGGGCGGGAUCACAGGUGGUGCAUGGUUGUCGUCAGCUCGUGUCGUGAGAUGUUGGGUUAAGUCCCGCAACGAGCGCAACCCUCGUUCCAUGUUGCCAGCACGUGAUGGUGGGGACUCAUGGGAGACUGCCGGGGUCAACUCGGAGGAAGGUGGGGACGACGUCAAAUCAUCGUGCCCCUUAUGUCUUGGGCUUCACGCAUGCUACAAUGGCCGGUACAAUGGGUUGCGAUACUGUGAGGUGGAGCUAAUCCCAAAAAGCCGGUCUCAGUUCGGAUUGGGGUCUGCAACUCGACCCCAUGAAGUCGGAGUCGCUAGUAAUCGCAGAUCAGCAACGCU
rnacentral:rRNA from 1 species